rnacentral:rRNA from 1 species
CCUACGGGUGGCAGCAGUAGGGAAUCUUCGGCAAUGGACGAAAGUCUGACCGAGCAACGCCGCGUGAGUGAAGAAGGUUUUCGGAUCGUAAAACUCUGUUGGUAGAGAAGAACGUUGGUGAGAGUGGAAAGCUCAUCACGUGACGGUAACUACCCAGCAAGGGACGGCUACCUACGUGCCAGCAGCCGCGGUAAUACGUAGGUCCCGAGCGUUGUCCGGAUUUAUUGGGCGUAAUGCGGUCGCAGGUGGUUUAUUAAGUCUGGUGGAAAAGGCAGGGGUUCAACCAUUGUAUGCAUUGGAAACUGGGAGACUGGAGUGCAGGAGAGGAGAGUGGAAUUCCAUGUGUAGCGGUGAAAUGCGUAGAUAUAGGGAGGAACACCGGUGGCGAAAGCGGCUCGCUGGACUGUAACUGACACUGAGGCUCGAAAGCGUGGGGAGCAAACAGGAUUAGAUACCCCAGUAGUC